rnacentral:rRNA from 1 species
GACGAACGCUGGCGGCGUGCUUAACACAUGCCAGUCGAACGGAAAGGCCCUGCUUUUGUGGGGUGCUCGAGUGGCGAACGGGUGAGUAACACGUGAGUAACCUGCCCUUGACUUUGGGAUAACUUCAGGAAACUGGGGCUAAUACCGGAUAGGAGCUCCUGCUGCAUGGUGGGGGUUGGAAAGUUUCGGCGGUUGGGGAUGGACUCGCGGCUUAUCAGCUUGUUGGUGGGGUAGUGGCUUACCAAGGCUUUGACGGGUAGCCGGCCUGAGAGGGUGACCGGCCACAUUGGGACUGAGGUACGGCACAGACUCCUACGGGAGGCAGCAGUGGGGAAUAUUGCACAAUGGGCGGAAGCCUGAUGCAGCAACGCCGCGUGCGGGAUGACGGCCUUCGGGUUGUAAACCGCUUUCGCCUGUGACGAAGCGUGAGUGACGGUAAUGGGUAAAGAAGCACCGGCUAACUACGUG